rnacentral:misc_RNA from 1 species
UCUCAAGAGCAUGUACAAUGCUGAGAAGCGGGGAAAGCGCCAGGUCAUGAUUAGGCCUUCAUCGAAGGUCAUCAUCAAGUUCCUCCUGGUUAUGCAAAAGCAUGGAUACAUUGGGGAGUUCGAAUAUGUGGAUGACCACAGAUCUGGUAAGAUUGUGGUGGAACUUAAUGGCCGUCUGAACAAAUGUGGGGUUAUCAGCCCCCGCUUUGAUGUUGGUGUGAAGGAAAUUGAGCCAUGGACUGCAAGAUUGCUCCCUUCCCGUCAGUUUGGUUACAUUGUGCUGACCACAUCUGCGGGGAUCAUGGACCAUGAAGAAGCUAGAAGGAAAAAUGUUGGUGGGAAAGUACUCGGCUUUUUCUACUAGAUUGGCUUUUACUGAGAGGAUGGACUUUUCCUUUCAUGUUUUCCUGAGUCUUGAAUUUCGGAUCUGAGACUUAGAAGCUCUGUUUUGUAGUUUGCUGUUGUGAUACAUGCUUGAGUAGGAUUUUAAGAUGAAUUAUCUCUUAAAUUAAACUUUGUUGGUGGCGUUUG